UACGGGGGGUGCAAGCGUUAAUCGGAAUUACUGGGCGUAAAGGGUGCGUAGGUGGUUAAAUAAGUUAUCUGUAAAAUCCCUGGGCUCAACCUGGGCAGGUCAGAUAAUACUGUUUAACUCGAGUAUGGGAGAGGGUAGUGGAAUUUCCGGUGUAGCGGUGAAAUGCGUAGAGAUCGGAAGGAACACCAGUGGCGAAGGCGGCUACCUGGCCUAAUACUGACACUGAGGCACGAAAGCGUGGGGAGCAAACAGG
rnacentral:rRNA from 1 species